rnacentral:rRNA from 1 species
GACGAACGCUGGCGGCGUGCUUAACACAUGCAAGUCGAACGGUAAGGCCCUUCGGGGUACACGAGUGGCGAACGGGUGAGUAACACGUGGGUGAUCUGCCCUGCACUUCGGGAUAAGCCUGGGAAACUGGGUCUAAUACCGGAUAGGACUCCGGACUGCAUGGUCUGGGGUGGAAAGCUUUUGCGGUGUGGGAUGGGCCCGCGGCCUAUCAGGUUGUUGGUGGGGUGAUGGCCUACCAAGGCGACGACGGGUAGCCGGCCUGAGAGGGUGACCGGCCAGACGGGGACUGAGAUACGGCCCAGACUCCUACGGGAGGCAGCAGGGGGGAAUAUUGCACAAUGGGCGCAAGCCUGAUGCAGCGACGCCGCGUGAGGGAUGACGGCCUUCGGGUUGUAAACCUCUUUCAGCAUCGACGAAGCGAAAGUGACGGUAGGUGCAGAAGAAGGACCGGCCAACUACGUGCCAGCCGCCGCAGUAA